rnacentral:rRNA from 1 species
AACGCGAAGAACCUUACCUGGGCUCGAAAUGUAGUGGACCGGAGUGGAAACAUUCCUUCCCCGCAAGGGGCUGCUAUAUAGGUGCUGCAUGGCUGUCGUCAGCUCGUGUCGUGAGAUGUUGGGUUAAGUCCCGCAACGAGCGCAACCCUUGUUACCAGUUGCUACCAUUUAGUUGAGCACUCUGGUGAGACCGCCUCGGAUAACGGGGAGGAAGGCGGGGAUGACGUCAAGUCCUCAUGGCCUUUAUGUCCAGGGCUACACACGUGCUACAAUGGCCGGUACAAACCGUUGCAAACCCGCGAGGGGGAGCUAAUCGGAAAAAGCCGGCCUCAGUUCGGAUUAGAGUCUGCAACUCGACUCUAUGAAGCUGGAAUCGCUAGUAAUCGCGGAUCAGAACGCCGCGGUGAAUACGUUCCCGGGCCUUGUA